GUCUACGGCCAUACCAUGUUGAAAAUACCAGUUCUCGUCUGAUCCCUGAAGUCAAGCAACAUUGGGUCAAGUUAGUACUUGGAUGGGUGACCGCCAGGGAAUACUUGAUGUUGUAGACAA
rnacentral:rRNA from 1 species